CCCAUAAAACACACAUUUGUUCUCUUGGUUAUAUAAUUUUUAAUUGCCUAUAACUGGUUGUAGUACACCAACGAAAAUGGAAUAGAAAUCUAUUGUGAAUGGAGAUUCAUAGAGACUCUCUCUAACACAUGCUUGCAGACAAUUUCAUCUCACCCGAUCUAAGUCCCAUAUAUGUUGAUUGAUCUUAUAAUUGGGAUCCUAGCUCCGGUAUUUCAUAGACCUUCGAGUGAGAACCUAGCCAAACGAGCUACAAUCUCUGACUAAACUGAGAUGUUAAUUUAAUUCUU